GAUGAACGCUGGCGGUAUGCUUAACACAUGCAAGUCGAACGGACUCUUCGGAGUUAGUGGCGGACGGGUGAGUAACGCGUGAGAAUCUGGCUUUGGGUUCGGGACAACCACUGGAAACGGUGGCUAAUACCGGAUGUGCCGAGAGGUAAAAGAGAAAUUGCCUGAAGAUGAGCUCGCGUCUGAUUAGCUAGUUGGUGAGGUAAAGGCUCACCAAGGCAGCGAUCAGUAGCUGGUCUGAGGGGAUGACCAACCACACUGGGACUGAGACACGGCCCAGACUCCUACGGGAGGCAGCAGUGGGGAAUUUUCCGCAAUGGGCGAAAGCCUGACGGAGCAAUACCGCGUGAGGGAAGAAGGCUCUUGGGUUGUAAACCUCUUUUCUUAGGGAAGAACAAAAUGACGGUACCUAAGGAAUCAGCAUCGGCUAACUCCGUG
rnacentral:rRNA from 1 species